rnacentral:rRNA from 1 species
UACGUAGGGGGCAAGCGUUGUCCGGAUUUAUUGGGCGUAAAGCGCUCGCAGGUGGCCCGAUGCGUCGUGCGUGAAAGACCCCGGCUCAACUGGGGGGUGUCGUGCGAUACGGUCGGGCUGGAGGCCAGUAGGGGGAUGCGGAAUUGACGGUGUAGCGGUGAAAUGCAUAGAUAUCGUCAAGAACUCCGAUAGCGAAGGCAGCUUACUAAGCUGUAACUGACGCUGAGGCACGAAAGUGUGGGGAUCAAACAGG